CUUGUUUUAAGGUACACAUAAAA
rnacentral:snRNA from 1 species